rnacentral:rRNA from 1 species
AACGAACGCUGGCGGCAUGCCUAACACAUGCAAGUCGAACGAGACCUUCGGGUCUAGUGGCGCACGGGUGCAUAACGCGUGGGAACCUGCCCUUAGGUUCGGAAUAACUCCCCGAAAGGGGUGCUAAUACCGGAUAAUGUCUUCGGACCAAAGAUUUAUCGCCUUUGGAUGGGCCCGCGUUGGAUUAGCUAGUUGGUAGGGUAAAAGCCUACCAAGGCGACGAUCCAUAGCUGGUCUGAGAGGAUGAUCAGCCACACUGGGACUGAGACACGGCCCAGACUCCUACGGGAGGCAGCAGUGGGGAAUAUUGGACAAUGGGCGAAAGCCUGAUCCAGCAAUGCCGCGUGAGUGAUGAAGGCCUUAGGGUUGUAAAGCUCUUUUACCCGGGAUGAUAAUGACAGUACCGGGAGAAUAAGCGCCGGCUAACUCCGUG